rnacentral:rRNA from 1 species
AGAUUGAACGCUGGCGGCAUGCCUUACACAUGCAAGUCGAGCGGCAGCGCGGGGGCAACCCUGGCGGCGAGCGGCGAACGGGUGAGUAAUGCAUCGGAACGUGUCCUUUUGUGGGGGAUAACCAGUCGAAAGACUGGCUAAUACCGCAUGAGCUCGUAAGAGGAAAGCAGGGGACCCGCAAGGGCCUUGCGCGAGAGGAGCGGCCGAUGCCCGAUUAGCUAGUUGGUAGGGUAAAGCCCACCGAAGGCGACGAGUCGGUAGCUGGUCUGAGAGGACGACCGAGCCACACUGGGACUGAGACACGGCCCAGACCUCCGUACGGGAGGCAGCGAGGUGGGGUAAUUUUGGAACAAGUGGGGGACCAACCCGUGACUCCGAGACCAUCGCCGCGUGUGUAGGAAGAACGGUCCGUUACGGGUUAGUAACGCGUACUUACGGAACGGAACGAACG